CACACUCAGCCACAGCUGUCAGAAAAGCAUAGAGAAAUGUCUCUAUUAUCAAUGCUGCCUGCAUGCCAUGGAUAUCCAAAAGGUGAUUCAAACGUGUCGCUCCAUAUCCAUUAAGACUCGACUGGCUACUCGAGGCCAUUCCAAGGACUCCCCAACACCAUCAACUUGAGUAGGGACGGUCGUCAAGUGUUGUUUCUGUCCGGGGGGUCCCUGUACAGCCACUCUCUACCCUAUCACGGCGAUAGUGAGGGGGGGUAAUGUGUACCCUCAUUAUAUACACAGUCCACUCUAGAUCUACACACACACACACACACACACACACACACACACACACACACACACACACACACACACACACACACACACACACACACACACACACACACACACACACACACACACACACACACACACACACACACACACACACACACACACAUGCACUGGGGUACUCUGUAUGUCGUUGUACUGUGGCUUGAGACAGUAAUUUAUUGGUGGGUAUAGUUAUUUAUUUCCAUGCAGUGGUACGAGACUAUAACCCUAUCCCCGCCCAUACCACUCACACACUGUCACAGAUGUUGAGCGAGACUAUGAAGAUUGUGACAAUAUGGCCGUAGAUCUUCCUGUUGCUAUGAAUACCACCCCAUAGGCCGAAACUGUGGUCCUCCGAUCAUCCUACUAGACAACUCUCGAGUUCCUCGGCUGUGUGUGACAGCGCUACCGGGGUUAAGCAUCAGAUGACCUCUGUUACUACAGAGCUAUGGCUGCCAUGGAUUUCCAAGAGAUGAUUCAAACGUGUUGCUCAAUUAAGACUGGCUACUCGAGGCCAUUCCAAAGACUCCCCAACACCAUCAACUUGAGUAGGGACGGUCGUUAAGUGUUGUUUCUGUCCGGGGGUCCCUGUACAGCCACUCUCUACCCUAUCAUGGUGAUGAUGUGGAGCGAGACCAUUGUAGACCCUUAUGUUGCCAUGACUACUAAACCUGGUCGUCCAAUGCAGACUAGCUGGAAGAAACUGUGCUCCUCCGAUCAUCCCACCAGACAACUCUUGAGACAAGCUGUCAGAGGUCAGACAACUGGGCAGAGUUUAACGGCUAGUACAGAUAUACAGAUUGUUGGUGAUGACCUCCUCGUGACAAAUCCCAAGAGGAUUAAGACUGGGAUUGAGAAGAAAGCUUGCAACGCUCUACUGCUGAAGGAAGUGGGUGUGGUUGAGUUUCCUGGGACACUGAAUUACAAGCUUUGCCCUUUGACCCCUCAGCUCCUCGGCUGUGUGUGUCGGGGGAGGUGUGGGUGAUGGAUAACGCUACCGGGGUCAAGCAUCAGAUGACCUCUGUUACCACAGAGCUAUGGCUGCCAUGGAUAUCCAAGAGAUGAUUUAGAAGUGUCGCUCCAUUAAGACUGGCUACUCAGGCCAUUCCAAGGACUCCCCAACACCAACUUGAGUAGGGACGGUCGUCAAGUGUUGUUUCUGUCCGGGGGGUCCCUGUACAGCCACUCUCUACCCUAUCAUGGCGAUGAUGUGGAGCGAUACUCUGCAGGUUGUGACAAGAUGACCAUAGACCUGCCUGUUUCCAUGGCUACAACAGCUGAGCUGGUCGUCGACUAGCUGGAGGAAACUGUGCUCCUCCAAUCCUCCCACCAGAUAACUGUCGAGACAAGCCGUUAGAGGUCAGACAACUGGGCGGAGUUUACGGCUAGUACAGAUAUACAGAUUGACGUCCUCGUGACAAAUCCCAAGAGGAUUAUGACUGGCAUUGAGAAGAAAGCUUGCAACGCUCUACUGCUGAAGGAGAAACUGGGGAAGGGGGCAAAGUUCGCUGGAGAGAAAUUCCGCAAUCCUCUAUUGUAAAAGAUGAACAAUUAUUGAAACGUUGUCAGUAGUAUUGUGAAC